AGCGAACGCUGGCGGCAGGCCUAACACAUGCAAGUCGAACGAAGUCUUCGGACUUAGUGGCGGACGGGUGAGUAACACGUGGGAACGUACCUUUUGGUUCGGAACAACUCAGGGAAACUUGAGCUAAUACCGGAUGAGCCCUUAGGGGGAAAGAUUUAUCGCCGAAAGAGCGGCCCGCGUUAGAUUAGCUAGUUGGUGAGGUAAAGGCUCACCAAGCCGACGAUCCAUAGCUGGUCUGAGAGGAUGACCAGCCACACUGGGACUGAGACACGGCCCAGACUCCUACGGGAGGCAGCAGUAGGGAAUCUUGCGCAAUGGGCGAAAGCUUGACGCAGCCAUGCCGCGUGUAUGAUGAAGGUCUUAGGAUUGUAAAAUACUUUCACCGGGGAAGAUAAUGACGGUACCCGGAGAAGAAGCCCCGGCUAACUUCGUGCCAGCCGCCGCGGUAAUAC
rnacentral:rRNA from 1 species